GGCCGCCCUUUCCCCUGCGGCCUCGGCCCGGGCCGGUUGGCUCCGCUGAGCUCCGAGCACGUGCGGAAUGGCCAGCUGUGGCAGAUGCAACUCCAGGAUGACGUGAAAGUAGGGCUUCCUUCAUCCAUCUGAAGAAAGGAAUAGUGGCAGGUGACAGUUUGCAUGUGGAGUUUUCAGGUACAUAUCCCUAUUUUUUCCAACAUUGACCACCUCCUCUGUGCCAGUCCUGUUGGCUGGUUGAUAUUCAUCAAGAAACAAUCGGGAGAUUCUUUCAUCUGAAUGAGAAACCUGCCUCCAUUAGGACCUCAGAUGUCUGGCAGCCCUGUAUGACACCAAGAUAAUAAGUAACGAUCCCAUUGCGGAAACUACAUUCCAUUUAUUCAUGUCUUCAUGGGCGGCCCCCCUUUGCUGUGACAACUUCUUAGACUUGUUUUUAAUGAUCUGACAGUUUCAAAGAAUCCUGUUCAAGUAUUUUGUAGAAAGUCCCUCAAUUGGGGUUGAGUUUCGCUCAUGGGUUUAUGGACUUUUGGGAGGAAGAGCAUUCUCAUGUAUCAUAGGAACAUGACUAUCCACGUGACUUAUAAUUGGAUGUUAACCUUGAUCACUUGGCCAGGUUUCUCCACUGUAAUUAUUCCUCCCCCCCUUCCAUACUGUAUCCUUUGGAAUGAACUCCCUAGGCCCACUCCACACUUGAAUGGAAAUUUGUGCUGUCCUGGAAGGUAGAAUAUCUACAUAAGUUAUUUGUAAUUAUUCUGAAAGAAAUUUUUCUUCUCACAUUUAUUAAAUUUGUUUAUACCACUAA